rnacentral:rRNA from 1 species
AAAGGAAUUGACGGGGGCCCGCACAAGCGGUGGAGCAUGUGGUUUAAUUCGAAGCAACGCGAAGAACCUUACCAAGGCUUGACAUCCCGCUGGCCGGUACAGAGAUGUGCCUUCCCUUCGGGGCAGCGGAGACAGGUGGUGCAUGGUUGUCGUCAGCUCGUGUCGUGAGAUGUUGGGUUAAGUCCCGCAACGAGCGCAACCCUUAUCUUUAGUAACCAGCACGUAAUGGUGGGGACUCUAGAGAGACUGCCAGGGUGAACCUGGAGGAAGGUGGGGAUGACGUCAAAUCAUCAUGCCCCUUAUGUCUUGGGCUACACACGUGCUACAAUGGCUGCGACAGAGGGAAGCGAAAGGGUGACCUGGAGCAAAUCUCAUAAAAGCAGUCUCAGUUCGGAUUGUAGUCUGCAACUCGACUACAUGAAGCUGGAAUCGCUAGUAAUCGCGAAUCAGCAUGUCGCGGUGAAUACGUUCCCGGGCCUUGUACACACCGCCCGU